CACGCCGUAAACGAUGAAUGCCAGUCGUCGGGUAGCAUGCUAUUCGGUGACACACCUAACGGAUUAAGCAUUCCGCCUGGGGAGUACGGUCGCAAGAUUAAAACUCAAAGGAAUUGACGG
rnacentral:rRNA from 1 species